GUGAGGGCCUUGGGGUGGGGAUUCUGCUUGUCCUCAGUUGUUCUCAAAUUACUGGAUAAAGUACAUGUAUUGGGUCCUUCGCACCAGAAGGAAUAAUGGAGUCCGGUUAUAAAAUCCAUACCACGUUAGCAGGACUCGUGGUGGCUGCCUUCUCAGGAGAUCCAAGGAACUUAGCCCCGUCCUUAAAGGCAAGGUGAUUGCACUAAGAUUAGCUCUGCUCCUUUUUUUUUUUUUUUUUUUGAAUUGUUACAAGCUUUUUUUUUUUUUUUUUUUUGAAACGGCCCUUGAGAUCCAGGUUAGGUUCUUGCUUGGCGUAGUUUGUGUAGCCGGUGCACAUCAGUUACUAGCACUGUGUUCCUGCGGUGCACUUCGGUCUGGGGGCGGAUUGCCGCCUGAAGUCCGCCCGGGGCCAUGCUGAAUUCAGCCUUGGGCUUGCAAACUCCACCACGGGUCCGUGCUCUCAAAGGCACAGACCGGAGGCAACGAAGUGUUAUCACUCCAAUGUGUUUCUCCCUUAGUGGUCCCUUCCAAAGGGACCAGUUUGACCCGAAGAAAAUGUUCAGUUCCUCCGAGGGACAGUUUUGGAGAUUUGGGUCCGACGUGGGAGCGUAGAAGAGAAUUUACGAGAAGCUCCUUCUGCGCACCCAUCCGAGGAGCGGGUGUAGACAUGAAGAGACUGCGCGUUCCUCGGCCGCGUUCGGGACAGUCUCUUGCAUAUAUGGAUAUCGCAUAUACCGAGGAGCAUGCCCUGUCACCCCAUUUGUUCUCUUAAGGAAGCAAAUAAACACGGAUUUUCUUGAGGAAAAUGAAUGAGCCCAGAGACCACGUUUCAUGCCUUACUGAACCCCCGACUCACUCGCUUCGAAGGCCAUCUGUCCUUGAGACAAAAAGACCACUUUUUGAAAAAGAUGCCGUUGUUGGUGUGCGAAUCCUGGAAGGAGCCAAGAUUUGGGAAAAUUGUCUCUGCCACCUUCUAAGCUACUCUUCAUAUCAAGUUAACACCCAACUCAUGCGAUUGGGACACGUUUUGUGCUCGAAUGAACGACCGCAUCAUAAGGGACGACGGCGAUUCUUAGCCCUCCGUCCACCUCUUCACGUAGCGUCCGUACUUUCGAAGCCUUAUUUUGAAGGAGGUUUAAUUUCUACAGAACAGUACCAAGCAGGUACCAUCCGAUAAGGCAAGGCGUUUAACAUUUUCGAGUCUCCCCAUCUUGGAAAUCAGGGAUGAGCCAUAUCAAAUGCCUUAGAGAACUGUGGAUCUUCACUCACAAGAAAGUCAAAUAACAACCAAACUGCUUUACUGAGACCUAUCCUCUUUGAGGCACUGUUAUGUUUAGUAUUAAGAAGGUCUAAGUUUUCUCAUCUUUAAAUGGGAAAUAUGAAACUCAAAGAAGUUAACAGCCACAUGCCCAAAGUCAAUCAGUCAGUAGGUCAAAAAUACUGAUUGAGAGCUGAGAAUUUGCCCAAAAUAUUUUCACUAAAAAUGCGUGAUCGAGUAACACAAAGAAAAUAAUUUGACUAUGCUACAUGAUUGGCUAUUUUAACUGCUAAGCAGAUACAUCGUGCCUUAUGAACACAGCCAUUCAUUGCAAGGGGCGCCUGGAUGGCUCAGUCGGUUGAGCAUCUGAUUCGGCUCAGGUCAUGAUCUCGCC